rnacentral:rRNA from 1 species
CAAGGAAUCUUGCGCAAUGGGCGAAAGCCUGACGCAGCGACGCCGCGUGGAGGAUGAAGGCCCUAGGGUUGUAAACUCCUUUUCUGGGAGAAGAAGUUCUGACGGUAUCCCAGGAAUAAGCUCCGGCUAACUACGUGCCAGCAGCCGCGGUAAUACGUAGGGAGCAAACGUUGUCCGAAUUUACUGGGCGUAAAGGGCGUGUAGGCGGCCCAACAAGUCUUCUGUGAAAUCUCACCGCUUAACGGGGAGGGGUCAGGGGAAACUGUUGGGCUUGAGGGCAGUAGAGGAAAGCGGAAUUCCCGGUGUAGUGGUGAAAUGCGUAGAUAUCGGGAGGAACACCAGUGGCGAAGGCGGCUUUCUGGGCUGUACCUGACGCUAAGGCGCGAAAGCGUGGGUAGCGAACCGG